rnacentral:rRNA from 1 species
GACGAACGCUGGCGGCGUGCUUAACACAUGCAAGUCGAACGGAAAGGCCCUGCUUGCAGGGUAUUCGCGUGGCGAACGGGGGAGUAACACGUGGGUGAUCCGCCCUGCACUUCGGGGUAAACCUGGGAGACUGGGUGUAAUACCGGGUAGGAGCCCUUCUUCGUGUGAUGGUUGGAAAGUUUUUUCGGUUGGGGAUGAGCGCGCGCCCUGUCUGCUUGUUGGUGGGGUAGUGGCUUCCCAAGGCGGCGACGGGUAGCCGGCCUGAGAGGGUGGCCGGCCACAUUGGGCUGGGGUUCCGGCCAGACCCCCUCCGGGAGCCGCAGUGGGGAAAUAUGGCACAUUGGCGCGAGCCCUGUGCAGCGACGCCGCGUGGCGGGAGGCCGCCCUUCGGUUGGAAAACCGUUUCGCCAUGUGCGGAGGUGUUUGUGACGGUACCUAGUAAAGAAGCACCGGCUAACUACGUG